rnacentral:rRNA from 1 species
UACGUAGGCAGCAAGCGUUGUUCGGAAUUACUGGGCGUAAAGAGUGUGUAGGCGGUGCUGCAAGUCUGGUGUGAAAUCUCCCGGCUCAACUGGGAGGGUGCGCCGGAAACUGCAGUGCUAGAGGGUGGGAGAGGUAAGCGGAGUUCCCGGUGUAGCGGUGAAAUGCGCAGAUAUCGGGAGGAACACCGGUGGCGAAGGCGGUUCUCUGGGCCUGUACUGACGCUGAGGAGCGAAAGCGUGGGGAGCAAACAGG